GACGAACGCUGGCGGCGUGCCUAAUACAUGCAAGUUGAGCGCUGAAGGUUGGUACUUGUACCGUCUGGAUGAGCAGCGAACGGGUGAGUAACGCGUGGGGAAUCUGCCUUUGAGCGGGGGACAACAUUUGGAAACGAAUGCUAAUACCGCAUAAAAACUUUAAACACAAGUUUUAAGUUUGAAAGAUGCAAUUGCAUCACUCAAAGAUGAUCCCGCGUUGUAUUAGCUAGUUGGUGAGGUAAAGGCUCACCAAGGCGAUGAUACAUAGCCGACCUGAGAGGGUGAUCGGCCACAUUGGGACUGAGACACGGCCCAAACUCCUACGGGAGGCAGCAGUAGGGAAUCUUCGGCAAUGGACGAAAGUCUGACCGAGCAACGCCGCGUGAGUGAAGAAGGUUUUCGGAUCGUAAAACUCUGUUGGUAGAGAAGAACGUUGGUGAGAGUGGAAAGCUCAUCAAGUGACGGUAACUACCCAGAAAGGGACGGCUAACUACGUG
rnacentral:rRNA from 1 species